rnacentral:lncRNA from 1 species
AUUUAGGGAAAAUUCUCUUGCCCAAAUAAAGUUAUAGUUUAAGAAAAAUUGAUUUGAGUGUCCUGUUUUUGUUUCCAGGUUCUUCCAUCAAAAGAUGGCAUUAGUAUUCCAUAAUUUUCAUGCUUUCUUAGUUCAUUUAAAAUUUUGAUAUGUUAUAAUCUCCUUAAUACUAAGUAUGGUGGUACUACUCUGCAAUGGGAAACGCACUUAGCACAGAAUUAAGUAUUAUCAUGCAACGCAGAGUUUUUUUAAAUUUAGCUUUCAGCAAAUUAGGUGACUAGAGAUAUUUAAAAAAUAAAAAAAAAGCAUGUCAAGGUCAGGCAUGGUGGCUUAUGCCUGUAAUCCCAGCACUUUGGAAGGCCUAGGUGGGCAGAUCACUUGAGCUCAGGGGUUUGAGAUCAGCUUGGGUUAACAUAGCAAGACCUCGUCUCUACUAAAAAUAAAGAAAAAUUAGCCAGGCAUUGUGGUGCAUGCCAAUAGUCCCAGCUACUCAGGAGGUUGAAUGAGGCUGGAGUAUUGCUUGAGCCCUGGAAUUGGAGGCUGCAGUGAGCUAUGAUAGUGCACUGCACUCCAGCCUGGGUGACAGAGAAAGACCCUGACUCAAAAAAAAAAAAUCAUUUUCCAAACAUUCCUUCAUUCCUUGGAAAAUUUUGUAGGAACAUGAUCUACCAAUCAAACAUAUUGGUGAAUGCCUAAAUGUGCCCUCCUCACCAUUACAGACAUUGCUGACCUACUGCACCGGCAACAGCAUUUGCUUACACAUUUGGAUCACUCUUGCACCCACUUGCCCCUUCAGAAGCCCCAAAGUUUCAAGCUCUCAGCCAUUCUUCCUGCUAUGAAAACCUGCUAUUAGAAUAAGGUCUUAUAUCACGCAUUUAUAUCUACGACUGAAUAUAAGCCAAAUGUUAUCUUCUUCCUGGAGUAUUUACAUAGAAAACUUCUCUCAAACUGAGAUUUAAAGCUCUGAUUAUUAAUUGUGGGAAAAAACCACAUAGUAUAAAGAUUACCAUCUUAACCACUUUUUAUGUGUACAGUAGUGUUAACCAUAAGCACCUUAUUGUGCAACAGAUCUCCAGAACUUUUUCAUCUUGCAAAGCUGAAACUCUAUACCCAUUGAACAAUUCCCCCUUUCUUUCUUCUAUCUCCAGCCCCUGGCAACCACCAUUCUACUUUUUGCUUCUAUGAAUUUGGUUACUUUUCAUACCUUAUAUAAAUAGAAUCAUGCAGUGUUUGUCUUUUUGUGACUGGCCUAUUUCACUUUCCAUAAUGUCCUCAAGGUUUAUCAUUUUUGUGACUGGCCUAUUGCACUUUGCAUAAUGUCCUCAAGGUUUAUCCAUGUUGUAGCAUAUGACAGGAUGUCCUUUUAUAAGGCUGAAUAACAUUCCAUUAUAUGUAUGUAUAUACCACAUUUUCUUUAUCC